UAUUAAAAAUUUCAUCCAUUUGUACUGUUAAAAACUAAUGUGGUUGACGGAAUAAUAAGACAAUGACAUGCAACGUGCCACAUGCCACAUGUACCUCAUGCUGAUAUACAAAGACUAAUUUUUAAUAGCAGAAAUGGAUGAAAUUUUUAACA
rfam:Gossypium hirsutum cultivar TM-1 chromosome 19, whole genome shotgun sequence